UUUAUUAUGGAAAUUUAUCCGUCCCGACACUGGCAGAAAUAUAGUUAAUCUGACUUCAAAAUUCCUUCCUCUGUUCCCCCAAGUACAUGUAACACUCUUCGCUCUCAUUAUUUUUUUAAUUUUCAUUGUAUAUUUUUUGUAGAAAAAAGGAAUGUGGAGCUAAUGCAUGCUGCUAAGGAUGGAAAUGUCUUGUGUUUAUUGGUUGUGCCUGAGACACCAGUCACAGUUGUACCUUAUUUCCAUUUUAGGGAGUCUAUAUACAUAUGAGGUGAGCAGCAGAUUUAAUUUUGAAGAUGGGUGACUUUCAGAUGUUGUGAUGAAGAUUGUUGAAAGGGAUUAUCAGCAUAGAACCAAUCCAUAUAAAUGUGCAAGUCAGAAAAAAGGAAUGUGGGGCUAAUGCAUGCUGCUAAGGAUGGAAAUGUCUUGUGUUUAUUGGUUGUGCCUGAGACACCAGUCACAGUUGUACCUUAUUUCCAUUUUAGGGAGUCUAUAUACAUAUGAGGACUUGUACAACACCUGAGUACCUAGAUGACUGUUGAACUAAUUGGUGAACAAGAAAAGAUGUCAGAGAGGGGAAUCCAAUACAGAUGCCAUGAUCAAGAAUAUAUACUCUUAACAAUGAUAUGAUCAAGAAUAUGUA